UGCCAUUAUAGAAUUUCGUUAGCCACCACUGUUUCUUUGAAAUUCAAAUGAAUUCAAUAGAAAGUUAGUUCAAGUCACUACGAAUGAUUUUGAUUAUUAUUGAUAUUAAAACACUAUGAAUCUGUUAAAAUUUUUAAACCUUUUCAAAACCCUAUGAUGCCAAUAACCAUCAAAAAGAGAAACUAUUGAACUUGAAUACCAAUCAUUUUAACAGUUUUCUUUCCUGACAACAACAAAGAAAAAUUACCUACGUUGGUAAAAUGGGGUAAUCCAUCAUCAAUAACAAUGACAUUAACUGCGGAAGAAAACGAGUUUCUAAAUUCUCUUAUGGAUUUAGAUGUCGAAGUAAAUAGAUCUUGUAGUGAAAGAGGUAAUGAAGUGAGUGGAAAAGACAAGGGAUUCAUGUGGGAAGCAUUCAAGGUCACCGAGUCUUCGGAUACCAUCACUGACAUGCUCAGGCCUCUUUUAAAAUUCUCCAAUAAGUCUAAAACAAAUUUUUCACAAAAUGGAGAUUCCACUAGAGAGAUACAAAGAAUUUAUGAAUAUCAUGUUCAACUGUAUAUUUCGAGUAAAUGAUUUAAUCACGGCAACGUAGACAAAUUCAUUUAUGAAAAUGGAAAUAUUGAUUUAAGACUAUCAAAUCAAAAAAGAUAACAGAGAAAGUGGUAUUAUAGAAGAAAAUAAAGAAAAACCAACUAGUCCAAAAGAAGAGAACAACUACGAAAUUCCAGUCAGACGAUAUAAAAAGAUUUGUCCAAGAAAUUGGACGAAAAAAUAUCAAAAAAUAUCAACCUUAGGAGAUUCUCAUAAACAGGAAGUAAUCAAUAUCAAUCCGCUUGUUGCCGUAGCGGCUGUGGAGCAUUCUGGAAAUUUAUCUGAAGAGGAAGAGGAGUCCGGAUAAUAAUCAGAUAUCAAAAAAACUGAAACUUCAACAACUUUGAAUGAAAAAGUAAUUAAAAGACAAAUUCAUGUUACUCUUCUUAAAGUGGAAUCUAAUAAGCAGUAUAUGGUGAGAUCGAUAACGCCCAGUAACCAAAAUACGGAUCAAGAUUCUUCCGGUCUUUCUCACAACCACUCCAAUUUAUUGACAAAUUCAAGUAAUCAAAUGUCUUCGAGUAAUUGGAAACUUUCCAUUUGUUGUCGAGUAAAUUUUAUU